rnacentral:rRNA from 1 species
AACGAACGCUGGCGGCGUGGAUUAGGCAUGCAAGUCGAACGGAACUUCUAGCUUUUUCGGAAGUUUAGUGGCGAAAGGGUGAGUAACACGUGACUAACCUGCCCUUGGGCUCGGGAUAACUUGCCGAAAGGCGAGCUAAUACCGGAUACGUUCUUGUUUCUUAACUGGGACAAGAAGAAAGAUGGGGACUUCUUCGGAAGCCUGUCACCUUUGGAUGGGGUCGCGGCCUAUCAGCUAGUUGGUGAGGUAACGGCUCACCAAGGCUAAGACGGGUAGCUGGUCUGAGAGGAUGGUCAGCCACACUGGGACUGAGACACGGCCCAGACUCCUACGGGAGGCAGCAGUGGGAAUCUUAGACAAUGGGCGCAAGCCUGAUCUAGCCAUGCCGCGUGAGCGAUGAAGGCCUUAGGGUUGUAAAGCUCUUUCAGUGGGGAAGAUAAUGACUGUACCCACAGAAGAAGCCCCGGCUAACUCCGUGCCAGCAGCCGCGGUAAUGUACAGUG